AUUGAACGCUGGCGGCAGGCUUAACACAUGCAAGUCGGACGAGUGGCGAACGGGUGAGUAACGCAUGGGAACGUACCGGAUGAAGGGGGAUAACUGUUCGAAAGGAUAGCUAAUACCGCAUACUAUUCGAUGGGCCGAUGUGGGAUUGGCUGGUGGGGGGGGUAAAGGCCCACCAAGGCGACGAUCAGUAGCGGGUCUGAGAGGAUGAACAGCCAAACUGGGACUGAGACACGGCCCAGACUCCUACGGGAGGCAGCAGUGGGGAAUUUUGGACAAUGGGCGCAAGCCUGAUCCAGCCAUGCCGCGUGUCUGAAGAAGGCCUUCGGGUUGUAAAGGACUUUUGUCAGGGAAGCGGUACCUGAAGAAUAAGCACCGGCUAACUACGUGCCAGCAGCCGCGGUAAUUC
rnacentral:rRNA from 1 species